UGGUGGAGUGAUUUGUCUGGUUAAUUCCGUUAACGAACGAGACCUCGACCUGCUAAAUAGUUUGACGAAGCUUCGGGUUCGUGCUGACUUCUUAGAGGGACUAUCGGUGUGUAGCCGAUGGAAGUUCGAGGCAAUAACA
rnacentral:rRNA from 1 species